UUAAAAUGCUAAAAGAAGAAGAAACAGUGGACAGCAAGAAUACACACAUUCAUGUUUGCUUAUAUAUGGGUAAAGAAACUCAGGAAAGUUACAGGAGGAGCUAAUAACAGUGGUUAAUUACAAUGGUAGAGGAGAGGCUUGGCAGAUAAGGGACUCGUUUGCAGAUAUGACUUUCCUUUGUGUACAUUUCUAUAUAUUAUUUUACUUCUUCUGAAAAUGCCACAUAAUUUGCAAUAAAUGAUUCACUCCUUAGCUCCAAAAGCAAGUCCUUUAUCAAAAUGCAAAUGUUCCAGAGGGAUGUAGCCAGAUUCUGUGGACCGCCGUCUUUUUCACCCUUAAGAAUCCGUCGCUAUGAUUUCUCUUCCUCUGCUUGGAGACCUUUAGAGAGCCAGCCUGCAGCUGCUCAGAGCAUUGACUACUAAACAGCUCACAGUUGCUAUUGCUGAAAAUGCCCGGUGGUUAUGCCUUGCCUGACCAGGGGUAGCCCACAGCUGAUGACAGGCCCCCUUGCCUCAAGGUGGGACAACUUCGGUGGUGCCAUUCAUAUCCAGAGCUGCCUGGAAUCAGGCCGAGGCUGGACAUCAGCCGACCCCGCAUCUUUGCUGAGUUUAUUCCUCUGCUGUACUUCCCUCGCUUCCCUCACCUCCUUCUUGGUUUCUCCUGAGAGCCUCCCUCAAUAAAUCACUUACCCCAGAAUCCUUGUCUCAGACUCCGCUUCUAGGACCCAACUUAAGACAUUCACAAAAUAAAUCACAUUGAUGGAAAACAGAUCCCAUUCUCCAAAAUGAAUAACCAGUAGGCACUUGUGACUAGCACAAGCAUCAGCAUAUCCACAUGGUGCUAAACUAACACCAACCCAAAGCAGAUAGUGCUGGGUGGACUCGGUACAAGUUAAUAGCUCAUGGGUCUCCAUCCCCAACACCUUCAGACCCAAGGCUCCAGGGCUGCCAGCCUGAGAACCCUAAGUCAUGAUUUUGGGCACUUUGGCUGGAUUUCCUAGCAACUGGCUGAGAGCAGGACAGGUAAACAGAGUUGGGAGGAGGAAGCAAAAAAGGCUAGAGUGGACAUCAGUUGACUUUGCCUGCCAUGGUAGAGACUUUCAGUCAUCCACCAUAAUCCAUCCCCAUUCUGCUGCACAGAAGUAUUGUGGCUGAGACACCUGCUUUUCUCCACCCCUCUAGUUAAUGUGACUAAAUUCUCCCUAUGGAAUGGGAAUGGAAGGGCCAUACCCAGGCCAGUGUCUUCAGGUAGGGGCUGUGACCCUUCCACACCUGUACCAGACACAAUCAUCAUCUCACUGGGUUUUGCCAGCUUUCAGGUCUAUGUGCUGAAAGCUGCUUACAGCUAACCUCUGCAGAUUUUCCUGGCACAGGAGGCAUGCUUGGCCAGUGCACAGGGCAAGUUGGAAGGGCCCUAAUGUCAGCAGCCUUCAACCAAUGAUGGAUGGAAAGUUGCAGACAGUGUCCUAUGCAUCUGCAGUGGGAUAACUCUGAGACGUGUGCUGUACUGCCUCCUAGAGGGCCCAGGGUGAUUAAGCACCAGUUACCCACAGCAGUAACUUCCUUGAUUCUGUUCCCCACAUGGGCACUUUUCUUCCUGUCACACCUCCCCAAUCCCCUGCAGAUACUUUCUGGGAUUGCUUCCUAAACAAUCCACUUGAACUUUUUUUUUUUUUCUUUUUUUUGACAUGGAGUAUUGCUCUUGUUGCCCAGGUUGGAGUGCAAUGGCACGAUCUUGGCUCACUGCAACUUCCGCUUCCUGGGUUCAAGCAAUUCUCCUGCCUCAGCCUCCUGAGUAGCUGGGAUUACAGGCGCCUGCCAUCACGCCUGGCUAAUUUUUGUAUUUUCAGUAGAGACGGGGUUUCGCCAUGUUGGCCACGCUGGUCUCAAACUCCUGACCUCGUGAUCUGCCCGCCUCGGCCUCCCAAAGUGCUGGGAUUACCGGCGUGAGCCACCGUGCCCAGCCCCACUUGAACUUUAAUCCUUGCCUCGGAAUUGGCUUCUGGGGAAACCAAAAAUAUAUUAAAAAAAGAGAGACCAGGACCUUAAAAAGAGCCCAAGUUGUUGAGCUCCCUGCCAAGUCACCCCCAGGUAUCUCUGCCCACCAGCUUGCAUGAGCCAGAUCCUCAGUGCAGGUUUUUCCAAUCAGUCAUUUGUUCUUCCACCCAACGCUCAAGAUUUGCUUCUUCAAGACAACUCUCUGAUCAGCUGAGACCCAUAGACACCCAGCUUCUACCACACAUAUGAUGGCAUUAUCCUAGGGCAUGGCAGAGCAACGCAAGGGAAAACUCUGGGCCCCCAAGUGAUGUCAUGGAGGAGAACUCUCAACCCAGAACUACUACGUGAGAAACAACGCUCUCUCUUCUUUAAGCCAUAGGUGUGUUGGGAAUCUUUGUUACAGCAGCACGCCUGAUCUUUUGUUUUGUUUUGUUUUGUUUUAGAGAUGGAGUCUUGCUCUUUCGCCAGGCUGGAGUGCAGUGGUGCGAUCUUGGCUCACCAUGUUGGUCAGGCUGGUUUCAAAUCCCUGACCUCAAGUGAUCCUCCCACCUUGGCCUCCCAAAGUGCUGGGAUUACAGGUGUGAGCCACCGCACCCGGCCCAGCCAUGCCUUGUCUUAACUAGCAUAGCCGCCCAACGUCCACUUCUUUUGGCCAUGUUGUCCUGAUUCUGCUGGAGAAUCCCUUUCCCACUGCUCCCAGACCAGUGGUGUAGCUGACCUGCGCUCUCUCCACUCAAUUCAGGGGAGGGAGGGGUUUAGGCCUGGGCUAAGAGAGCUGCACAUUUCCCAGGGCACAGUGAUUAGUUGAGGGUGGGUCCCAGAGCCAAAUCUGCCCAAGAUCUUAGCCUGAAAGAGAAACCCUCCUGCUGAGUGACUGCACUGUGAGGCAGAAGUCCAGAGCUGUGGGUGGCCAUCCAGCCUCCAUUUGCGCCUGCCUGAGAAAGAAGCCACCAUGGGGGAAAUCGAGCUAAAAGACGGAGAGGGAGGUAAGAGAGGAUGACAUCACAUAAGCACCAGAUCUGGCCACCCCUGAAACUGGAACAACCCUAAGCUUUACAGCUACUACAUUCCCUUUUCUGCUGAAGUUGUUUUACACUGGGUUUCUGUCUCUUGCAACCAAGAGCUCUGUUAAAUAAAAACCUGACCCUAAGGAGAACGUUAGCUGGUUCACAAUUCCCUGUGCAAAACAGGCACAGGUCAGCUGCCCCAGCCUGUCGUUUGGAUAUUCCUUUCUAAGAACGCUCACUUUUGUUGUCUACAUGACCCAGAUAACCAAGGAGAAAGCAAAUCAACCGCCUUCCAGCGGCGCCUUCCUUGGCAGCAAGUGCUAAGAGAGAACACAAUGUGAGUACUCUGCCCUCUGGAGUCAGGGUUGAUCCUCAGCACUUGCUGUCCUGGGAGGCUGCACCUGUGACACUUGAGUGCCAGGUUCAACCCCUACUGCUGCUGCUGCUGCCUGAAUGGGGCCAUUUAGACUGUUGAGUGCUACAGCCUCAGCCCAGGAACCCGGAGCUUCACAUGAGGCAGAGCAGGGCCCCAGGGUCCCUGAAACUUGCCAGUUCAAACAGCAGAGGGGUGAGGACUCCCCAGUCAGCCCUGGUCUCAUACCUGCCUCUGCAUGGUCCCAGUCCAGCCUGAGGCCUUUGCUUUCUUUUUUGAAGGGAAGGUGAGGAGAGAGGGGGAAAAUAGAGGUGUUCUGACUAGACUUAGGAUUCCUGGCCUCUGCCUCUGACCGCCAGAGGACAGCCUCUGCAGUUGCCUCAUCUACUCAUGAAAACAGGCCUGUGACCCCAGGGGUGCUCUGAGGAUUCUUCCAGAAAACAUCUGCCCAGCUAGGACUACCUAGCUCACUGCCCAAAAAGGGUUCAUUUCCUUUCCUUCUGAAACAAAAGCGCUUAAUUGGAAGAGAAGCAUUGACUCAAGCUAUAGGAUAUGCCACUUAAAAUGUCCAGAUCUUGGCACAAGGCCUGGCGCACAGUGUGGGAGAGAAGGAGAGAAGAAGGUGGAAGGAAAGGAGGGAGGGGAAAGAGGAAGCAGGGAGGGAGAAAAUAAGACAAGGGCCUCCUCAUCUGGAUGCUUCCCUAGACCAAGAAGUGGCCCAGGUGGUGCCCAGGGGACAGGGAGUGGGCAAUAAAAGACAAUGGGGUGUAGGUGAUAGGGUGUAGAUGAUCAGGGUAUAGGUGAUCAGGAUGUAGGUGAUGGGGUGUAGAUGACUGGGGUAUAGAUGAUUGAAGUGUAGGUGAUGGGGUAUAGAUGAUCGAGGUGUAGGUGAUGGGGUAUAGAUGAUUGAGGUGUAGGUGAUGGGGUGUAGAUGAUUGGGAUAUAGAUGAUCGAGAUGUAGGUGAUGGGGUAUAGAUGAUCAAGGUGUAGGUGAUGGGGUAUAGAUGAUUGAGGUGUAGGUGAUGGGGUAUAGAUGAUCGAGGUGUAGGUGAUGGGGUAUAGAUGAUUGAGGUGUAGGUGAUGGGGUGUAGGUGAUGGGGGUCAAGGUGAUCAAGGUGUUGGUGAUGGGGUGUUGGUGAUCGGGGUGUAAGUGAUGAGGUAUAGGUGGUGGGGUGUAGAUGAUUGGGGUGUAGGUGAUGGGGUGUAGGUGACGGGUAUAGGUGAUGGGGUAUAGAUGAUCAGGGUGUAGGUGAUUGGGGUAUAGGUGAGCAGGGUGUAAGUGAAGGGGUAUAGGUGAUCAGGGUGUAGGUGAUUGGGGUGUAGGUGAUCGGGGUGUAGGUGACCAGGGUAUAGGUGAUCAGGGUGUAGGUGAUGGGAUGUAGGUGAUCAGGGUCAAGGUGAUUGAGGUGUAGGUGAUGGGAUGUUGGCAACCAGGGUGUAGGUGAUCAGGAUGUAGGUGAUGGGGUGUAGACGAUCAGGGUGUAGGUGAUGGGCUGUUGCUGACCAGGGUGUAGGUGAUCAGGGUGUAGGUGAUCCGAACUUCCUACUCAAUUCAGGCAACAGCUCCCAGCCUGAGGCAAAUACCCCCCGAGGCAGUCAGGGUCUCACCUCCCAUGGCUCUGACGCAGGCCUCCAAGGUGAGGAGAUGGAGGUAGCAGAGGUCACUUCACUCAGCUGUCACACACCCUGAGGGAACUCCUGUCACUGUUAUCCCACCUGCAAGUGAGGAGCCAGCAUUUCUCAUGCUCCAGGGUUGGCCACAGAGCCCAUUCAAGGGAGGGAGAAGAGCCUUCGGCCAGCGCAUCCUAACCGCAGAAAGCCAAGACCUCUGCAGAAAAAGAGACCAGGCCCAUAAAAAGAGAUCCAUGAGUUGAGUUCCCUGCCAUGCCACCCCCAGGCAUCUCUGCCCACCAGCCUGCAUGAGCCAGCCCCUCAGUGCAGGUUUUUCCAAUUGGCCGUUUGUUCUUCCACCCAACACUCAAGAUUUGCUUCUCAGCCUGGACAACAUAGCAAAACCCCAUCUCUACAAAAAAUACAAAAAUUAGCUGGGCAUAGUGGCACACACCUAUAGUCCCAGCUACUCGGGAGGCUGAAGUGGGAAGAUUACCUGAGCCUGGGAGGUCAAGGUUGCAGUGAGCCAUGAUCAUGCCACUGUACUCCAGCCUGGGUGACAGAGUGAGAACUUGUCUCAAAAACAAAAAAAGAGAGGAAGAUCUGCUUCUUCAAACCCACACAACUAAUAUAAAGUAAUCAACCUCCCCACCUCAAUAACCUGAAGUUAAACAUCACACAAUAAGCCCUGAACAGAGAGCUGUAGGUCAAUGUUCCAUUUUGCUUUUAAAAGCUUCACAAGAACAUUUCAUUUAUUAAAAUAGUUUCUGUAAACUCUUUCAGAAUAACAAAAUUCACUUGCCUUGCUUAAACAGCAUUUCAAGUAGAAGUAUUUUUAUUUCAAGGCACCAUAAAAUGAUGAUCUCUCUAAGAAAUACCUCUCCUUC
rnacentral:lncRNA from 1 species